rnacentral:rRNA from 1 species
UACGUAGGGUGCAAGCGUUGUCCGGAAUUAUUGGGCGUAAAGAGCUCGUAGGCGGUUUGUCGCGUCUGCUGUGAAAACGCGAGGCUCAACCUCGCGCCUGCAGUGGGUACGGGCAGACUAGAGUGCGGUAGGGGAGAUUGGAAUUCCUGGUGUAGCGGUGGAAUGCGCAGAUAUCAGGAGGAACACCGAUGCGGAAGGCAGAUCUCUGGGCCGUAACUGACGCUGAGGAGCGAAAGCAUGGGGGAGCGAACAGG